AAUUAUUUAGCUAAUUAAAAGCGAAUGGUUUGAACCCAUUAAUAAGAAGUCAAUCCUUCUAAUAAUUU
rnacentral:tRNA from 1 species